GUCAAGUGUCCAGUAUUUACAUUUAGCAAUUGUCUGCUCGUGACACUGAUUGGUUCUCCAGACUCUCCCUGUUUCAACAUUUCAUGACUGCUAGAUGGCAAAUUAAUUUAAGACUGCUGAAUUAUGGACUCUGCACACACACACACACACUCUCUCUCUCUCUCUCUCUCUCUCUCUCUCUGUCUCUCUCUUUCUCUCUCUCUGAGUGAGAUGGCGUGUGAGAGCUGAGAGCGAAUCACUUUUCGAUUCAACUUUCUGUGAGUUUUGAGAAUUUAUUUCUCUUUUCUUUAGGUGUGAGUGUGUGUAUGAGUUGUUUAUUUAUCGUUUGGUGUUUAGAGGGCUGUGUUUUUUUGCGUGUGUGAGUGUGUGGGUGCUUUCGUUUGGUGGGCGGCGUGUUAACAGCACAAUGCCGGUGGCUGAGGCUGCAGCAGCAGAAUUUGAAAAACUGACUCGCCGUCAUGCGAUCAAAAUUCACCCCGCGGUGCAGUGCUUGGUGGAGGAAGCCAGCCUGGCUGUAGGAGAGGUGGUCAGUACGCUUCUUUUUUGGGUUGGAGCGUAAAAAUGGACAAAGGAAGACCAUUCACUGUUUAUGGACGGGUAGCAGCUCCGAAGUCUCAGACUCGUCUGAGAUCAGGAAUUUUGCUGCCAACUACUACAGAAACCUCUUUAAGAGUGAGUGGACGCAUAAUCCAGAAGAGCACAGCAACUUCCUGGCGGGUCUCCCUCAGGUCAACGAGGCUGACAACAGCAGACUGGCAGCAGAGGUGACGCUGCAGGAGCUCCACGCAGCCACCAUGAGCCUGCAGAGUGGCAGAGCUCCAGGCAUAGACGGCCUUCCUGCUGACUUUUACAAGUCCCUCUAGUCCAUCAUAGGACCAGACCUGCUAGAGGUCAUGAUCGACAGUUUGAGGACCGGCAGGCUGCCUCUGAGCUGCAGGAGGGCCAUCAUCACCCUGCUGCCCAAGAAGGGAGACCUGCAGGAGCUGAAAAACUGGAGGCCAGUCUCCCUGCUGUGCACGGAUUAUAAGAUCCUGUCCAAGGCUCUGACCCUCAGACUGAGGGAGGUGAUGGCGUCCAUCAUCCACCCUGACCAGACCUACUGUGUGCCUGGCCGGCUCACCAGUGACAACGUCACUCUAAUUCGAGACGUUUUGGAGCUCUCCAGUUCAUUGGGUAUAGAGACUGGUCUUAUUUCCAUAUGUGGCAGGCAGCACCUUGCUGCUGUUGAAUGCAGCUCUCCCUCCUCCUCUAACCCCUCCUUUCCCCUAAUCAGGUUAGCUGAAUAAAAGGCAGCAGCUCACCUGCAGUCGGCCUUCUGCUCUGCUCGGAAUGCUGGUGGUAGACCUGCUGCUGUUUUGUUUCCCCCAUUAACUGUCAUUUUUGCCCUUUUGAUUGGUUUCCCCCCUUACUUGGUUUGUUUCUACCUCUAAGUUUGGUUGUUUUACCCAGUUACUCCCCCAUUAGUUUGCAUUCUGUUCUUAGUUACCCUUAGUUGCUUUUCUCCUUAGUGAUUCUAGUUUUACCAACUGGGUUCGCUGUUGCUGGUUUGUUUGUUUCUGUGGUUAAUCCUUUUAUUUUAUUUCAGAAGUUGAGCCCACUAGUUUGGGAGGCUAGGCACCCCGGGUGAGGGCCCUCCACCUUUGCAUGAGUUUGACACGUGGUCACAAGACUACACCAAUUUGUUUCUUUUUUGAAGGUUUGAAGUGUGUGUGUGCUAUGCUUCACUUGGUGAGUAUAAGGGAGCACUCCCCUGCACUUUCCCUCUGUAGUCUGCCUCCCUUCUGGUGGCCUCAGCUUAUUUUAAGUUAAUUUAGUUUGGGUUUCUUUGAUUUAGUUUAAGUUGGGUUUAUUGUACAUUUUAACUGUUUUUAACUUUUGCAGAAGGCCUUGUUUUAAAUUAUUAUAGAAAUAAAAUUAACUUUCUUGACCCUUAUCUGUGUUUUGUUAUGUUGUUUUAACUUUAUCCCUUUCUUUCCCUCCUAGGUUAAAUUUCUGUUAUAUUUAAGUUUAACUUCAUUUUUGAUCUAAUAAACAUUUUGAAAUAUUUUGAACUCUGUCUCUGCCUCUUUCAGAAUUUACCUGUGUUGCCUUAUUCUUAUUUUAGCUUCCUGUUAUGAUUUUAGUCUGAAAGUGCAGUUUCCUGGGGUGUAAGUCCCCAGGUGGCGUUGCUGGUUGGAGACAAUAUCAUCUAAUUGUGAACAAAAUAGCACCCCUUGCCACAUUCCAUAGAUCAGGAAAAGGCUUUUGACUGGGUUGAACACCAGUACCUGUGGCAGACUCUGGCUGCCUUUGGGUUCAACCCUGGGUUCAUAGCCAUGGUCCGGGUUCUCUAUAGUGACAUUGCGAGUGUUCUGAAAAUUAACGGCUGGCUGAGUGCACCAUUUGAGAUCCAGAGAGGGGUGAGGCAGGGCUGCUCUCUCUCUGGGAUGUUGUAUUCAGUUGCCAUCGAGCCUCUGCUUCACAGGCUGAGAGACAAACUAAGUGGUGUGUGUUUCCCCCGGUGCCCUGUGUCUUUUAAACUGUCUGUAUACGCUGACGAUCUUAUUGUUUUAGUUAAAACACAAAGAGACAUUGACAUUUUAACUGACACUGUUCAUGACUUUGGUUUGAUCUCCUCAGCUAAGGUGAACUGGGGGAAAAGCGAGGCUCUGAUGGCUGGAGGGGAGCUGGGGGGCCGGCUCAGGCUGCCCGGUGGCCUGCAGUGGAAAAAAGGAGGACUCCGGUAGCUUGGGGUCUUCCUAGGAGAUGAGACCUACAUACAGAAAAACUGAGACAAUGUCCUGGAGCAGGUUAAAGGUCGGCUGGAGAAGUGGAGGUGGCUGCUCCCUAAAAUGUCGUACGGAGGCCGAACCUUAAUCGCAAAUAAUCUGGUCUCAUCUUCCCUGUGGCACCGGCUGGCCUGUGUCGAUCCUCCAGCUUCUCUCCUUCCCAAGAUUCAGUCGUUUUUAGUUGAUUUUAUUUGGGACAGACUCCACUGGGUCCCACAGAGUGUCCUGUUUUUACCAAAAGAGGAGGGGGGCCAGGGCCUGGUCCACCUGGCCAGCAGGGGCGCAGCCUUCAGGCUCCAGUUCAUCCAAAGGCUGCUGACGGGGCCAAAGGCCACUCUGUGGAGGCCCCUGGCCCGCUGCAUUCUGCAGGGUUUUAACAGCCUGGGUCAGGAUUUUAAUUUGUUUUUAAUGAACACACAGAACAUGAGCACAUCUUCUCUGCCUUCUUUUUAUCAAUGUGUUUUUAAGGUCUGGGGCCUGCUGAGGAAGGAGAGGAGGGGCCAGGUGGACUCCAUCUACUGGCUCCUGCAGGAACCGGUCCUAUGGGGGACCUGUCUGGAGAAAAGACUGCAGACGGCGGGGAUCGUCACUCUGGGGCAGGUGGUGGAGCUGAUGGGACCCCGGAUGGAUGACCCCUCUGGACUCGCUGCCCGGCUGGGACUUUUAUCGAUGAGGGUCACCCAAAAACUCGUAGAGCACUGGAGACAGAGACUCACAGGACACGACUGCCUGCUUUUAAACUCCCCUUUUACCCGGACAAUAACUGAAGAAGACCCCUUUCCUGCCAUCUUCCUGGCACCGGAUUUUAAAGACUGUUCUGGCCCGCUGUUGGAUUUUAACCACCCCGCCCCUUUGGAGGGCACACCAGGAAAAACCUUUUAUAAAAUCAUGGUAAAAACAACAAACUGGACAAAAGACCUGACACCCCAUGGCGGAACUAUCUGCGCCUGGCUCCUGAGGCCAGGCCUGAGUGGAGGGCCUUCUACAAACCUCCACUCUCAAAAAGACACAAUAAUGUGCACUGGAGAGUCCUCCAUGGGGCCAUAGCAGUGAACUCUUUUAUAUCACAAAUUAACCCGGCAGUAGAGGACACAUGUCCCUACUGCCCCCAGAGAGAGACAAUUUUUCACUGUUUUUAUGAAUGUCUGCGUCUUUUACCUUUUUUUCUGUUUUUACAAACUGUUUUUACCAAGUGUGGAGAAGUUUUUAACAAGCAGGAUUUUAUUCUGGGUUUUAAAUACAUAUGCCAACACAAGAACAAGUGCCAGCUUUUAAACUUUGUUUUAGGGCAGGCCAAGAUGGCAGUGUAUUUUAGUCACAGGAGGAAGGUGGAGGAUGGUUUUAUUGUUGAUCUGGGGUCCGUUUCACGUAGCAGGUUUAAUGGAAACUCCGAGUUUGUUAACCCUGAAAUCAGGGAAACUCUGAGUUUUCCGUUUCACAAAGGAGGGUUAGUUAAACCAGGGAGAGAGGGGUAACUCUAACCUGUUUCACAAAGAGAGGUAACUCAACCUCGCGGUCAGUUACCACAGUAACAGACUCCGUGAACCUAACCUGCUCGGGAGCAGGUUUAACUCAGUAAACCCAGAGUUUCAGGUGAGACAUCGGCAUUUUCUCAUUUUGAUCAUGUUUUACAUUGUCAAGUAAGUAUUAAGUGGCAGUUUGAUCCCUUAAAAAAUGCUCUUUUCACACUCAAAACUGAAUUUUACUCUCUUAUUAUGUUCCGUUAAAUGAUUAGGAAUAUUAAACAAACACAAACGGAUGGUGGCCCAGCAGCCCCACCUUUAACGGAGGCAGAGGAGCUGCCCCCCCCCCCCCCCCCCCCCCCGUUCGACGAUCGCGGCCGGUCCAAUCGCAAAUCCCCCCCCCCACAGACACACACACACACACACGCACACCAGUCCGGCGAUCGCUGCUACGGGGUGGGGGUUGCGAUCGUCGGGGGGGGGGGGCAGCUCCUCUGCCUCCGUUAAAGGUGGGGCUGCUGGGCCACCACCCGUUUUUCUGGCAUCUGCCCUCUUUCUGUUUGCUGAGUGAAAGUCUAAUAUUGAGUGUAGUGUGUGUUAGUUUAAUAUAUGUACAUAUACAUACUGAGAGUUAGUUUAAUAUUCCUAAUCAUUUAACGGAACAUCAUAAGAGAGUAAAAUUCAUUUUUGAGUGUGAAAAGAGCAUUUUCUAAGGGAUCAAACUGCCACUUAAUACUUACUUGACAAUGUAAAACAUGAUCAAAAUGAUUCAAGCAGUUUCCCUGCAACAGUCUGUCAUUGUGAUUGCACGAGACUAGAUUUAAAGUUACGCAUUGACACGAGCAGCGAUUUCCUCCCAAGCCCUCUCCCUCUCCUUUGCAGCUGCUGCUGUAUUGCACUUUCUUUUAAAAACGUGCUGUAAUUUGCUGUUGGCUUGCUGCUGCCCCCUCCUUCUCCCUGUUUCCAUUGGUUGAUCAUUGAAUCUGCGCUCCACAGAUGCUGGCUGUUUAUGUCUGGCGUGCACGUGCUUAACUCCAGGUCAAACUACUCGGAGUUGUUAAAACCGUCUCAAAUCAGGUGUUGUGAAACCGGAAACUCAGAGUUUCCUAACUCAGAGUAGAUCAACUCAGAGUUAAGGAUUUAACUCAGAGUUUGUUGAACCACCUACGUGAAACGGACCCCUGGUCACUGUCUGUAAAAAUAUGAUCAAGUCCAGACUCCUCAUUGAUUUUAAUUUCUACAAAGCAGGAGGAGAUCUGGCAUCAUUCCAGGCGGUUUGGGGUUUUAAUCAGGUGUUGUGCUCAAUAGCAGGAAAUAUUUUACAGUUUGAAGAUGUGUGCAUGUAAAUUUUUAUUUAUUUAUUAAUUUUUUGACUGUGUGUGAUUGCUUGAAUUGACAUCUUUUUUGAAAAAAGAGCGACAAAUAAAGUAGAUUCAAAAAUAAAAAAAA